UGUUUUUUUUGGGGCGGUUCGUUCUUGUUUCACGACGCGUCGGGUUCGCGCGGCCCGGCUGGGGCAGGAGGGGCUGCCAGAAGGUUCCCUCAGGCCCCGGGGCCGAUGGCAGCCGCGCCAGGGCGGCCCCGCGCGUUGGCGGGAGGAGGGGAGCGGCGGCCGGGCAGCGGGAGCGAGCCCCGCGGAGGUACAGCCCGGCUGGGAUAACAACUCUCCUAAGACCCUGUGGCUCCUACAGACCAGUUAUGUGGGUUCUGACCCACCUGGGCAACCCACCUGGGCAACCCACCUGCGGGAGGCUGGGGACAGGGCCAGGAGGGGACACCAGGACAAAGGCAACAAAGGACUGGAGUCAACAAAGACCCCCACAGGAGACCCUCGAGCACACAUCAUCACAAAGACAGCCAAUUGCAGGAAAUAAAAUGACUAUGUAGAAGAAUUCUGGGGACUCACUGACAUGGAACUGAAUAUGCCUGGUUUUGGUGUGUAUUAGUCGGGGUGUUUCACUUGACUCCUCGAAGCACUCAUGGUGGAGAAUCCCCAGUGCUGCCAUAAAGAACCCCUGCUCAACAA